GUUGUUUUCCAUUCGUUUGAUGUGGUUGUGCUUUUAAUUUUGUCAUUUGAUUAUGGACUUACCGUUUGAUUGUAUAGCUAGUUAAACCUCUUACUGGUAUAAAAGUCAUACAUAAUUGAUGUAUUUUGACAAUUACAUUGUUUGAAAACCAGAAUUAUGAAGAUUAAGAGUUUAAAAAAAACCAACAAGAAUCUGGCUGAGACCAACUCUAGUGUUGUGGUAGAAAACUCCCAAGUGUUAUGAAUGAAUUUGGAUAUUUUAUAAAGGUAUAUUAAAAGAGAUUGACUGCACAAAUGAUAUUACAAGCAGUAACAUGAUGAUAGUAACAACUAGAGCUAUUCAUGAGUAUCAUACAUUACUACACCUAAUUUUAUAUCUGUUCUACAAUAUUUGAUUCUGAUCUAGAAGUUCUUUUAUAAUCUUUGUUUAUCCUGCCGACAAGCUAACCAGUAAUACAAGUUGAUUAUCCGUGCUACAUUACAAAAGUAGUGGUACUCCAGAUAGUGGAGGAAAGAAUAAAGAAGAGAAAGGUUCUUUAAUAAGGUUUUGAUAAGAGAUUUAGAAUUUAUCUAAGAACCUAGGUUUGUAAGUCCCUCAGACGACG
rnacentral:lncRNA from 1 species